rnacentral:tRNA from 1 species
GGCCGGGUAGCGGGGCGACGCAGUUGCAGGGUAGAGCAGCGGACUGAAAAUCCGCGUGUCGGUGGUUCGAUUCCGCCCCUGGCCACCA